rnacentral:rRNA from 1 species
AGUGAACGCUGGCGGUAGGCCUAACACAUGCUAGUCGAACGGCAGCACAGUAAGAGCUUGCUCUUACGGGUGGCGAGUGGCGGACGGGUGAGGAAUACAUCGGAAUCUACUUUUUCGUGGGGGAUAACGUAGGGAAACUUACGCUAAUACCGCAUACGACCUACGGGUGAAAGCAGGGGAUCUUCGGACCUUGCGCGAUUGAAUGAGCCGAUGUCGGAUUAGCUAGUUGGCGGGGUAAAGGCCCACCAAGGCGACGAUCCGUAGCUGGUCUGAGAGGAUGAUCAGCCACACUGGAAGUGAGACACGGUCCAGACUCCUGCGGGAGGCAGCAGUGGAGAAUAUUGGACAAUGGGCGCAAGCCUGCUCCAGCCAUACCGCGUGGGUGAAGAAGGCCUUCGGGUUGUAAAGCCCUUUUGUUGGGAAAGAAAAGCAGCAGGUUAAUACCCCGCUGUUCUGACGGUACCCAAAGAAUAAGCACCGGCUAACUUCGUG